UGGGGAAUAUUGCACAAUGGGCGCAAGCCUGAUGCAGCGACGCCGCGUGGGGGAUGAAGGCCUUCGGGUUGUAAACUCCUUUCGCUAGGGACGAAGCUUUUUGUGACGGUACCUGGAGAAGAAGCACCGGCUAACUACGUGCCAGCAGCCGCGGUAAUACGUAGGGUGCGAGCGUUGUCCGGAAUUACUGGGCGUAAAGAGCUCGUAGGUGGUUUGUCGCGUCGUUUGUGUAAGUCCACAGCUUAACUGUGGGACUGCAGGCGAUACGGGCAUAACUUGAGUGCUGUAGGGGAGACUGGAAUUCCUGGUGUAGCGGUGAAAUGCGCAGAUAUCAGGAGGAACACCGAUGGCGAAGGCAGGUCUCUGGGCAGUAACUGACGCUGAGGAGCGAAAGCAUGGGUAGCGAACAGG
rnacentral:rRNA from 1 species